rnacentral:sRNA from 2 species
AGCUGUCCCGGCGGCCUCCUGUCGCCCCUCAGCUGUUCCCCUCUGGAGGUUUGGUAAACCUUCAUCCUCACGGGCCCGAAGAAAUUCGAGGCCCUUUUUU